UUUGUUCUUCUUUCUUUCUUUCUUUCUUUUUUUUUUUUUUUUUUAAAUCCGUGUCCUCUGAGGUUCUCUUUGAAAAUCUGUUGAAUGUUUCUGGCCUUUAUAUUCUCUCAAACUGACAAAACCCAUUACUAAAUGGAUGUUAAUGAAGCCACGGGGCCAAGUCAUUGGUAAUUCAAAACGAAAACCGUGACCGCGUGAGGCUGUCAUACGUCGCCCCUGAAAAGCCACAGCAAAAUGCUGUGCUCUUCAAGGAGACCCUUGAAAUUAAGACGUUCACCCAGAAAUGUUAAGCGAUUCGGGGGCUUUGAAACAAAGUGCCCUCAUUAACACGACCUCAGGCUUGCGCUGUCUGAACAGAAACGGCGAUGGAAAAGUAAAUAAUGAGCCCGUUUCCUGGCACUAGAGCCGACAAAGACCUACACACCUGGAGGGCGGCAGUGCUUUUCCCGGAGAUCAGGUCUAAAAAUAGACCUCUCAGCUUUGCUCCAGUCCACCCCCAAUUCCCGAGCAGACAUCUGGAAAGAUUCCCUUUUAAGUCCGCAAGAGGAAAGGAACGAAACAAACUACUGGAACCAAACAUGGAAAUGAUGGUUGAAGACCAAGACUGCGAACCAAUCAAGCUAAAGCGUUAAAGUUGCUCUGAUUAUUAAAUGAAGAUCUAUUUUCC
rnacentral:lncRNA from 1 species